AAGUAUUAAUCUUGAUUUUCUAUUCCAUAUUAGCUCCAGUAUAAUAUCAAUGGUAACUGCAUGAUUCUGGUUGACCAAGCUAUGGUCAAGAUACAUUAGUGACUACGAAGAACAUGUGUCUAAGAACGAAGAACUAAAGUCUAUGAUUAAUCUCUAUUUAGAGAAUAACAACAAGACCUUGAAUUUAUUCAACAAGCUCAUAUACACAAACGAGUUUGUGGCACAGUACGAGUCUGUCUACAAGGAUCAUGUUAUGAUUUUAGAAAAGAUCCGUGAGCUGGAAGAAGUGCUCGAGAAGAAGCAUAAGCAUGCAAAGAUAAGGGGGAGAGUGGCGAUUAGUUUUCUCGCGACUAAAUUUCUCCCUGUUGUCGCCUAACCAUGUCUUCUCCUGCGCUUGGAACGGCUGCCAAUGCGAGGGGAAAGACGUUAAUGGAGAAAGAUGAGUAUUCUAAGGGAAUAGAGACCAAACAUUGAAGCGAUGAAGGCGAUAAAGCUCCUAGUCGUGUUAAGCCACAUGGAAGGUGAUGGAGUUUCAGAAAGGUAGGCUUCAGAAUCUGUAUUGGAAGAGAGACGUGUGUGCGUCGUGUAAAGGGAAUCAGAAUUUUGUGUGUCUUAAAAAGCAAGUUUGUGCGAUAAGAACACCGAGCUGUAAAGGCCGGGGAGGUUCAGUGGGCUGUAGUCUUGGGAUUCAGCUGGCGUUUUCCGGCACUGAUAAGCACUUGGCGGUUCUCAACUCGUGGUAUGAAGUUGAUAAUCUUAAGCAGUAUUCUCUUUAUGGUUUGUAUUCAAACCUCAAGAGCUCACUUACAAAUCAGCUCAAUAAUUUCUUCUGAGCUUCUUGUGGAGUUGUAUUUGUUUGUUUGCUUGUAUCACGUAAGUUAAUCUCUUUGGUGAGACUCUCUAAUGGUUUAUGAAAUGUAACACGAAUUUGCGGAAAUUGUUGUGGUAGGAACUAGAAUGUCCCUAUUCUGGGCAAAUAUGGUUUGGUUCAACCACUUGUAUCCAGAGUUAGUCAAGAGUCAGCCAUAGUUACGUAUAUAUGUAAAAGCAAUAGAUACGUACGUAUUUGCAACACCA